UACGUAGGUGGCGAGCGUUAUCCGGAAUUACUGGGUGUAAAGGGCGUGUAGGCGGGUUGGCAAGUCAGAUGUGAAAUCUCAUGGCUUAACUGUGAGGCUGCAUCUGAAACUGCUGAUCUUGAGUAUCGGAGAGGAAAGUGGAAUUCCCAGUGUAGCGGUGAAAUGCGUAGAUAUUGGGAGGAACACCAGUGGCGAAGGCGACUUUCUGGACGGUAACUGACGCUGAGGCGCGAAAGCGUGGGGAGCAAACAGG
rnacentral:rRNA from 1 species